rnacentral:rRNA from 1 species
AUUGAACGCUGGCGGCAUGCUUUACACAUGCAAGUCGAACGGCAGCGCGGGCUUCGGCCUGGCGGCGAGUGGCGAACGGGUGAGUAAUGCAUCGGAACGUGCCCAGUAGUGGGGGAUAGCCCGGCGAAAGCCGGAUUAAUACCGCAUACGACCUGAGGGUGAGAGCGGGGGACCGAAAGGCCUCGCGCUAUUGGAGCGGCCGAUGUCGGAUUAGCUAGUUGGUGGGGUAAAGGCUUACCGAGGCGACGAUCCGUAGCUGGUCUGAGAGGACGACCAGCCACACUGGGACUGAGACACGGCCCAGACUCCUACGGGAGGCAGCAGUGGGGAAUUUUGGACAAUGGGGGCAACCCUGAUCCAGCCAUGCCGCGUGCGGGAAGAAGGCCUUCGGGUUGUAAACCGCUUUUGUUCGGGAAGAAAUCCUCUGGGCUAAUACCCCGGGGGGAUGACGGUACCGGAAGAAUAAGCACCGGCUAACUACGUG